UCAGGCAACGAGCGAGACCCACGCCAACAGUUGCCAGCUCGUCCUCCGGGAUGGUGGGGACACUGUUCGGGAACCGCCUCUAGGCUAAAGGAGGAGGAAGGAAUGGGCAACGGUAGGUCAGCAUGCCCCGAAUUAUCUGGGCUACACGCGGGCUACAAUGGGUGGGACAAUGGGUAUCGACACCGAAAGGUGAAGGCAAUCUCCUAAACCCAUCCGUAGUUCGGAUUGUGGGCUGCAACUCGCCCACAUGAAGCUGGAAUCUGUAGUAAUCGUGUCUCAAAAUGGCACGGUGAAUAUGUCCCUGCUCCUU
rnacentral:rRNA from 1 species